CCUCGCCUCCACUCCACCGCCACACUCCGUCAGCUGUAAACGCAUCAGUUUGUUUGGCUGCCACCGCGUAGGCUGUGAGAUUCCUGCACAGAAGCCACAGUAUGUUGGAAAGACCAGAGACCAAAACCUGAAGAGCUGGAAGAACUUUGGUUGCUGGCAUCACAAUAAACUGACACAAGUGGAAAAAUGUCCAAGUCUUCUAGCAUGAAUUAUGGAUCCCCGGGAUCUGCCCCCCUGCAGGAAUAACUGCCAACAUAUCAAGCCCAGAAAAUAAGACAUGCUUUUAUUGGCCAUAAAUAUCUAUACAUUUUGUGUUCUCAUCAUUUCAUCAUCACACACUACAAGUGAAGAUUUUCAUCUUUUAUUUUGUCUGAAAUGUUGGGGUUAGAGUUCAUGAUGUGAAAAAAAUCAAUAAAAGUGAAUUGUAAUAACUCACGAGAUGAUCUAAGCUUUACUCUGAUUCAUGACUCCAGGCUCAGUGUCUCUUUAUCAGUCUGUGCAUAUUUGUACAUUUGUCCCCAGCAUCUCCACACAGUAUAACUUUAAUAUCAAGACUAAAAUAAUUCGAGCUGCUUGUUUAUUAGCUCAGUGAAAGAGUCUGAAAGUGAACAUCAGCACUUCAUCAAAGCCUGUAGGAUUUUACGGCGGCAUAUACAGUUCAUAAACAUCACGGCGGAGGCUGCUCACCAGUAAAGAUGUCACAGUUUAGGGCUGAGGAUGGAUUACAGGCUCAGCUCAGACUCGUGCUGAAGGUUAAUGUUGAGACGUUUUAAACAGGCGUCCCUGAGACGUCCAGAGAUCUGCACUCCGUCUCUGCUAUCCUGAAUGUGCACUGAACUGACUCAUGUUAGAAAAUGAGAGUGUUCUUGCUGUUACAUGUUGGGACUCCACAUAAAUGUAAAGUUAUCAUAAGUAAGGUUGAAGUCAGUACGUCUGAAGCAGCUCGAGGUUGAAGCCAUUUUCUCUCAAGAAAGUCUUGAGCUUUAAAUCUGGAUCUGAAGGCUCCAACAGCUGCACUGUGACCGUUUUCAGAAUUUGUACUCCCUUUCAGAGGUCUGAAGGCUCGUUGGAGAUGGGAGAGUAAACUGGUACUCUUCUCUCGGGUCUCCUUCUGGGGAACGCUGCUUCAUGUAAAGGCUUUCAUGACUGGAGCUUAGUGGAGCUUAAUGAUGUUCUAAAACAGGAUGUAUGGCGUGAGGUAAAGUAAAUGUAAAGUAAGGGGCAGUGCUCGGGCAUGUGAUGGAGACUUGUCAUUAACAAGGUCCCACCUUUACCUACCCUCUCGGUCUUUCUGACUGACGGGACCAAAAUUCCCAAAAUGUUUUCUUUAAUCUGACCUGAAAGCAGCGCCUGAGUUCACUGAGCUCAGAUCAGCUGAGCAGAAGUUCUCUGUAAAAUCAGACUAAGUUUUACAGUCAGAGGAGUCGC